rnacentral:tRNA from 1 species
GAGAGAUGGCUGAGUGGUCGAAAGCGCUCCCCUGCUAAGGGAGUAUCUGCCUAAAAGUGGAUCGAGGGUUCGAAUCCCUCUCUCUCC